rnacentral:rRNA from 1 species
AUUGAACGCUGGCGGCAUGCCUAACACAUGCAAGUCGAACGGGGCAGCAAUGCCUAGUGGCGGACGGGUGAGGAAUACGUAGGAAUCUGCCCUUAAGUGGGGGAUAACCAGGGGAAACCCUGACUAAUACCGCAUGAUCUCUUCGGAGCAAAGAGGGGGACCGCAAGGCCUAUCGCUUCUGGAUGCGCCUACGUCUGAUUAGCUAGUUGGUAGGGUAAAGGCCUACCAAGGCGACGAUCAGUAACUGGUCUGAGAGGAUGAUCAGUCACACCGGAACUGAGACACGGUCCGGACUCCUACGGGAGGCAGCAGUGGGGAAUAUUGGACAAUGGGGGCAACCCUGAUCCAGCAAUGCCGCGUGUGUGAAGAAGGCCUGAGGGUUGUAAAGCACUUUAGUUGGGGAGGAGGGUUAGUAGGUUAAGAGCUGACUAACUGGACGUUACCCAAAGAAUAAGCACCGGCUAACUCCGUGCCAGCAGCCGCCGUAACAC